GACAAGUGAUGCAUGAAAAUAUUUGCUACUCUUGAUGGGUUUUUCGUAUUUGAUGAUUUUUUAUCCACCAAGAUCUCUGAGGCU